GACGAACGCUGGCGGUAUGCCUAACACAUGCAAGUCGAACGGACUCUUCGGAGUUAGUGGCGGACGGGUGAGUAACGCGUGAGAAUCUGGCUUCUGGUUCGGGAUAACAGUGGGAAACGACUGCUAAUACCGGAUGUGCCUGCGGGUAAAAGGUUUGCUGCCAAAAGAUGAGCUCGCGUCUGAUUAGCUAGUUGGUGGGGUAAGAGCCCACCAAGGCGACGAUCAGUAGCUGGUCUGAGAGGAUGAUCAGCCACACUGGGACUGAGACACGGCCCAGACUCCUACGGGAGGCAGCAGUGGGGAAUUUUCCGCAAUGGGCGAAAGCCUGACGGAGCAAUACCGCGUGAGGGAAGAAGGCUCUUGGGUUGUAAACCUCUUUUCUCAGGGAAUAAGAAAGUGAAAGUACCUGAGGAAUCAGCAUCGGCUAACUCCGUGCCAGCAGCCGCGGUAAUACGGAGGAUGCAAGCGUUAUCCGGAAUGAUUGGGCGUAAAGCGUCCGCAGGUGGUUAUUCAAGUCUGCCGUUAAAGAGUCUGGCUUAACCAGAUAAAGGCGGUGGAAACUGAAAGACUAGAGUGCGGUAGGGGCAGAGGGAAUUCCCAGUGUAGCGGUGAAAUGCGUAGAGAUUGAGAAGAACACCGGUGGCGAAAGCGCUCUGCUACGCCGCAACUGACACUCA
rnacentral:rRNA from 1 species